CCUACGGGAGGCAGCAGUGAGGAAUAUUGGUCAAUGGACGAGAGUCUGAACCAGCCAAGUAGCGUGAAGGAUGACUGCCCUAUGGGUUGUAAACUUCUUUUAUAUGGGAAUAAAAUGUUCCACGUGUGGGAUUUUGUAUGUACCAUAUGAAUAAGGAUCGGCUAACUCCGUGCCAGCAGCCGCGGUAAUACGGAGGAUCCGAGCGUUAUCCGGAUUUACUGGGUUUAACGGGAGCGUAGGUGGAUUGUUAAGUCAGUUGUGAAAGUCUGCGGCUCAACCGUAAAAUUGCAGUUGAAACUGGCAGUCUGGAGUACAUGAGAGGUGAGCGGAAUUCGAGGUGUAGCAGUGAAAUGCUUAGAUAUCACGAAGAACUUCGAUGGCGAAGGCAGUUCACUGGACUGCAACUGACACUGAGGCGCGAAAGUGUGGGUAGCAAACAGGAUUAGAUAACCGGGUAGUC
rnacentral:rRNA from 1 species